rnacentral:rRNA from 1 species
GACGAACGCUGGCGGCGUGCUUAACACAUGCAAGUCGAACGGAAAGGCCCUGCUUUUGUGGGGUGCUCGAGUGGCGAACGGGUGAGUAACACGUGAGUAACCUGCCCUUGACUUUGGGAUAACUUCAGGAAACUGGGGCGAAUACCGGAUAGGAGCUCCUGCUGCAUGGUGGGGGUUGGAAAGUUUCGGCGGUUGGGGAUGGACUCGCGGCUUAUCAGCUUGUUGGUGGGGUAGUGGCUUACCAAGGCUUUGACGGGUAGCCGGCCUGAGAGGGUGACCGGCCACAUUGGGACUGCGAUACGGCCCAGACUCCUACGGGAGGCAGCAGUGGGGAAUAUUGCACAAUGGGCGGAAGCCUGAUGCAGCAACGCCGCGUGCGGGAUGACGGCCUUCGGGUUGUAAACCGCUUUCGCCUGUGACGAAGCGUGAGUGACGGUAAUGGAUAAAGAAGCACCGGCUAACUACGUG